rnacentral:rRNA from 1 species
UGGGGAAUAUUGCACAAUGGGCGAAAGCCUGAUGCAGCAACGCCGCGUGCGGGAUGACGGCCUUCGGGUUGUAAACCGCUUUCAGCAGGGACGAAGGUUUUCUGACGGUACCUGCAGAAGAAGCACCGGCUAACUACGUGCCAGCAGCCGCGGUGAUACGUAGGGUGCGAGCGUUGUCCGGAAUUAUUGGGCGUAAAGAGCUUGUAGGCGGUCCGUUGCGUCGGAAGUGAAAACUCAGGGCUUAACCCUGAGCCUGCUUUCGAUACGGGCGGACUUGAGGGAUGUAGGGGAGAACGGAAUUCCUGGUGGAGCGGUGGAAUGCGCAGAUAUCAGGAGGAACACCAGUGGCGAAGGCGGUUCUCUGGACAUUUCCUGACGCUGAGAAGCGAAAGCGUGGGGAGCAAACAGGCUUAGAUACCCUGGUAGUCCACGCCGUAAACGGUGGGCACUAGGUGUGGGACCCAUUCCACGGGUUCCGUGCCGUA